GACGAACGCUGGCGGCGUGCUUAACACAUGCAAGUCGAACGGAAAGGCCCUGCUUUUGUGGGGUGCUCGAGUGGCGAACGGGUGAGUAACACGUGAGUAACCUGCCCUUGACUUUGGGAUAACUUCAGGAAACUGGGGCUAAUACCGGAUAGGAGCUCCUGCUGCAUGGUGGGGGUUGGAAAGUUUCGGCGGUUGGGGAUGGACUCGCGGCUUAUCAGCUUGUUGGUGGGGUAGUGGCUUACCAAGGCUUUGACGGGUAGCCGGCCUGAGAGGGUGACCGGCCACAUUGGGACUGAGAUACGGCCCAGCCUCCUCCGGGAGGCAGCAGUGGGGAAUAUUGCACAAUGGGCGGAAGCCUGAUGCAGCAACGCCGCGUGCGGGAUGACGGCCUUCGGGUUGUAUACCGCUUUCGCCUGUGACGAAGCGUGAGUGACGGUAAUGGGUAAAGAAGCACCGGCUAACUACGUG
rnacentral:rRNA from 1 species